AAUGAACGCUGGCGGCGUGCCUAACACAUGCAAGUCGUACGAGAAAGGGGCUUCGGCCCUGAGUAGAGUGGCGCACGGGUGAGUAACGCGUGGGUAAUCUGCCCUUGGAUUUGGGAUAACUCUGCGAAAGUGGAGCUAAUACCGGAUAGUCUGGCUUUAAUUGAUAAGUCGGUAAAGGAUGCCUCUGCAUAUGCAUUCGUCCAAGGAUGAGCCCGCGUCUCAUUAGCUAGUUGGUAGGGUAAUGGCCUACCAAGGCAACGAUGAGUAGCUGGUCUGGGGGGAUGAUCAGCCACACUGGAACUGAAACACGGUCCAGACUCCUACGGGAGGCAGCAGUGGGGAAUAUUGCGCAAUGGGCGAAGGCCUGACGCAGCAACGCCGUGUGAGGGAUGAAGGCUUUCGGGUCGUAAACCUCUGUCGGAAGGGAAGAACGGGUGAGGGUCUAAUAGGCCUUCAUUUUGACGGUACCUUUAGAGGAAGCACCGGCUAACUCCGUGCCAGCAGCCGCGGUAACAC
rnacentral:rRNA from 1 species